rnacentral:tRNA from 1 species
CCAGACCAAGAGCCUUCA